GCUUGUAAAAAAUCAAUGGAAGAAAUUUUUAUGAGAUUAUUUAUAAAUUCAUAAACAUUUCUACAGGUAUAUAAUCGAAGUGCAUGUCAAAUGGUACAGUACCACAAAACAGGCAAUGUUCCCAAAGGCAGUUGCUAGGGGUCCGGUAACCGGACUUCUAGACCUGGAAUCUAGAGGUCCGGUAAUCAAUAUGAAUGCUGAGAAUGGUAUUUACAAAGAGGAUUUCAGAAGUUUGCUCUCGUAUUUUACUUGUCAUUUUAAAUGCUUUGUAAGUGACAGGAAACAGAAGUAUUUAUAAUUCUUUAGUCCUUGAAAAAAUGGAUCGCAAGUUCGAUAAAUUAUAAAUAGGAAUUUGUACGCUGUACAUAAUCGGAGGCAUUUAUCAGAUAAAUAUAUUUAGACUCCAGUGGACUCCAGGUCUUGAGGUCCGUUUACCGGAUCCCUAGCCACUUCCUUUCCCCAAAGGCCAAACCAAAAAUUUCAGAUGCACUGCAGCACGAAGUCGUAAGCAUAUUAUUUUGAUGAAAAAAGAUCUUAAAAUAGGAUUUGAUAAAAUAUAUGAAUUGUGUUGAAUAUAGUAAUUGAUAAUUCUUCAAAUUUGAAUGUAAUUUAAACUACUAGCUGGGACUGUUACAAGUACUGUUUAUGUAUUGAUAUUGAAAAUUAAUACAAGCUACAUGUUAUAUGUACAAAGCUGUUACUGCAUUGGUUAUAGCCCUUUGGCAUCUGUGCGCCAUUUGUAAGCAUCAAUGUUAAAUAAAUAAGUUGUAUUUGUGAAAAGAGUUAUUUUAGACCUCAAAAGCAAUGGUCUGUGUUGAUGCUAUUUUCUCUGAAAGCAAACUGUCUGUAAUCUGCAGCCAUUCAGCUACUGUUCCAGAAAUUUGAAGGCGUAAAAAGUGAGCUGCCAUUACCACAGUACCUCAGAUAUGUAGGAACCAUGACAUUCGGGCAUUUCUGUUCUGUUGAAAUAAUACUUGAGCUGGAACCAUGACAUGAAAGAAGACCUUAGGAAAUAUAUGCAAGUGGAGAUUGAGACAUUAAAUUUGAAAAACGAAAAGACUUAUGAAGCAAAUAGCAAGUUCUGAAUGCUUCAAACUAACUGUUAGUAGACUUUGGAUAAUUUACUGCAAACGUAGUGCAAAAAAGACUCAGAUACAAAUGUAUCAUAACAAUGCUUACACGCCAAACUUCCAGGGCAUCUAUACAGGAGAAUUCAGUUCAAAGUCCAGGAGAUUUCAGAAUUUACAUUGUACCUAGUUUAAUAGUAUAAUUAAAAAGAUAGUUCUGAAUUCUUUUUGGUAAAUAUGAUUCAUUUUUAAAUCUACAAGGUAUUGUCAUCAUUUUUUGAUCUUUGUCAGCUUUGGUCUUGGUUAACAUUUUGGCUUAUGUUCUUCUUUUCUUCGAAAUUAUAAGAAAUACAGCUUUGAAACUUAGUUCACCUGUUUAUCAUUAGAUAGCCAAGAGUCAUAAUUCCCACUUCUGUCACGUUUUGGCAGAAUUAUGACCCCUUGUGUACCUAGAAAAUUGGAAUUUCUUGAACAUAACUCUGUCAACUAUUUUGGCUGAAUUAUGCCCUUUUUUGGACUUGGAAAUGGUGAAGUUUUCGUACAAGUCAACGUUGUGUCAAAAUUGUUUGACAUGUGGCUUUGAAACUUUGAGCACUUGCUUAUCAUCAUGAUCUCCAUUUGCAGACAAGAGUACAUAACUCUGUCAACUAUUCUGCCAGAAUUAUGACCCUUUUUGGACUUGAAAAUCAGUUAAAUUUUUCAUACCAGUCUAUAUUUUGCCUAACCUGUUUGUCAAAUGGCUUUGAAACUUUUACCACUUGUUUACCAUCAUAAUAUAUGUAUGUAGACAAGACUACAUACGGUAACUAGGACAAGGACUUUAGCUCAGUUAUGGCCCUUUUGUGAGAAAGAAAUUAGUUAAGUUUCACAUGCGAUUCCAUAUUUUGUCUAAACUGUUUGAUAUAUGGCUUUGAAACAUUGAACAGUCUUGCUUACCAUCAUGAUCACAUAUUGCCAUAUAUUGCAAGACUUAUCCAAAUCCACAAAAACAGGUACAUUGUUUGUCUAAUUUAUUUUUCAUCUUUUGUCUGCAAAUCUCUGGUAAUAUUUUGACCCCAUACUUCCAUCAAUUUUUCGAAUAGUCAAGUGCGCUGUCAACAGACAGCUCCUGUUUGUGAAUACUAUAAGAUCUAUUUGCUUUAAAACUUUGUACAUUUCUUUACUAUCAGUAAGUGAGUAAGAAGGUCAAGAACCAUUUAUAACACUUUCUAUUGCAUAUUGUUAAACGUCAAUCAAUUACAGGCAAGGGUAGACACCCGCAGGCGUUUCUGUGGUUCAUACUAAUUUUGACAUAUUUUAAUGAAUGUCUGGGGUAAUUUUGACUAAAAGAGGUUGCUUAAGUAUUAUGAUAGCAUGGUUUUUGAUUACUUUAGAUUCUGACAUUUGAAAGCAGUAUGGGUAAAAAAAGAACAUGUCAGUAAUGUAAAUGCUAUAAUCUUUUUACUGAGGUCUGAAAAACAAAAAGGAAAAAUAUACUUAUUUUGGGCCAAUUUUCUCUAGUUUGGAUUGAUAAGUUUUCAUUGAAAACAGCUGUAAUAGAACUAAGGUCAUUUUAUUUGUAACAUUUAUUGUAAACUACACUACUUUCAAGUCAUAAUUUGUAAUGAAUCACAAAAUUUUGAAGUAACAAAUUUAUAUUCAAUUCCUUUUGAUUUUGCAUUAUUUUUGCUGGUGGGUGGGGUAAGUCUAUUUAUAUAGUGUUUUUUUUCUCUAAAAUGCAGAAUUGUAUGUUGUUUUUCUAAUGGCUUUUACUUGCAAAUAUUUUAUACUACCAUAUUUAUAAUCUUGAAACAUGUAACUGAUGGAACAUACUGUUUUCAACUUAACAAUAUGUUAUGUUGUUUUAUGUACCUGCAAAUAUUAGUUAUUCGAAAAGCGAAGUUGACAGCUAAAGUUAUUGCAUUUUAUAUUUAAAAAAGGUAUAUUAAUACUAUGUAUUGCAUCAAACAUCUGAUAAGAUGUUGUUUUGUCUGUUGAAGUAAGCAGUUGUAUUACUUAAAUGUUUAAAUAGAAAAACAGCCAAAAAUAUGCAACAUAUUAGAUUAAUUUUGGUGCUAACUUCAGCUUUAUUAGACAUUUUUGAUAUUGGUUACCUUGAUAUAGUCUGUCUCGUAAAAUUUUAAAAUGCAUGGUGACCUAUUCUUUUUAAUAUUUAUUUCAUCUAUAUAUACAGCUAUCUUAAUUUUUGAAAAGUUUCAGGAAAGUAAAGAAUGUAGAAAGGUCUGUAACUCUUCUUCAAAUAAUCUGGAUUCAUAAUGGUUUCAGUGAUUUAUGUAUAGAUUUUACGAGACAAGAUUUAGAUUUUUGUCAUUUAUCUGCAGAUAACUUCGAUUAAAAUUCAAAUGUUUGUAUUAUUUUUCAAUAAUAUAGUGUUUUGUAGGUCAUAUAACUAUUUGGAAUGGAAAUCACUUGAAAUAUUAGCAAAAUAAAAUUUUGAAAUAUAAA